rnacentral:sRNA from 1 species
UAGGAAAGUCAUAAAUAUAUAAAUUAUAUUAUAUAAUUAAUAUAAUAAUAAAAUAAAUUAUAUAUUUUAUUUAUAAUAUUAUUUCUUUAUAAGAUAAAUAUUAUCUAAUAAUAUUUAUAAAGAAAUAUAUAUAUAUAUAAAAAGUCAUUAUAUAAAUUUAAUUAUAAUUUAAAUAAAUUUUAUAUAAAUUAAUAUAAUAUUAAUAAAGUAAUUAGUAUAAAUAAAUAAUAUGAAAAUAAAACUUAAUAAAUAUAUAAAUAUAGUCCAUAUAUAUAUAUUAAUAAAAAGUAAUAUAUAUAUAUAUAUUGGAAUAGUUAUAUUAUUAUACAGAAAUAUGCUUAA